rnacentral:lncRNA from 10 species
AGUGAUAUUGUAUCAGUAGAGAUGUCUAACAGUCAAUAGAAUAAAGGGAUCUAGAGUUUAGGUGAAAUCUGAACUUAUCUUCCUAGAGAAGACAGAUAUGACAUGGCAGUGGAUGAGAUAGCCAAGAGAGUGAGCAAGGAUUGACAAACUACCAAAGGGACAAUCAGAAAUGCAAGUAUAGGCGUACCAUUUCAGAGAAGCCAAACAAACAAACAAACAAAAACCCAGUUUCAGGAGAUGGAAUGAGGCUAAAGGCAAAUAUAUUAUUACAUUUAGGAUAGAAUUGAAUGAAGAUUGAGAAAAUGUCACUAGAUUUAUUACUGAAAAUGUAUUCUCCACAAAGGUAAGAUGCAUAAAGAUAGAGGGCUUAGUUACCUAUUUUAGGAAAAAGAAUCCAUCUUCUCCAUCUGGCUUAGUGUCCUGAGCAUAUUCUCAAAAUAUUCAUUCAUUCAUUCAUUCAUUCAUUCAUUCAUUCAAUAAUGGCAGUAUCAUUGUCUUUU